GGAAAAACUGCACUCAGUGGUGAAGCAUCUACCUAGCAUGCAGAAGGUCCUGGGGUUCAAUCCCUGGCAUCUCCA